UACGGAGGAUCCGAGCGUUAUCCGGAUUUAUUGGGUUUAAAAGGGAGCGUAGGUGGAUUGUUAAGUCAGUUGUGAAAAGUUUGCGGCUCAACCGUAAAAUUGCAGUUGAAACUGGCAGUCUUGAGUACAGUAGAGGUGGGCGGAAUUCGUGGUGUAGCGGUGAAAUGCUUAGAUAAUCACGAAGAACUCCGAUUGCGAAGGCAGCUCACUGGACUGCAACUGACACUGAGGCUCGAAAGUGUGGGUAUCAAACAGGA
rnacentral:rRNA from 1 species